UACGAAGGGACUAGCGUUGUUCGGAAUCACUGGGCGUAAAGCGCACGUAGGCGGAUUCGUAAGUCAGGGUGAAAUCCCGGGGCUCAACCUCGGAACUGCCUUUGAUACUGCGGUCUGAGUCGAUAGAGGUGGGUGGAAUUCCUAGUGUAGAGGUGAAAUUCGUAGAUAUUAGGAAGAACACCGGUGGCGAAGGCGGCCCACUGGAUCGGUACUGACGCUGAGGUGCGAAAGCGUGGGGAGCAAACAGG
rnacentral:rRNA from 1 species